AUGGAGGCCAUCUGGCUCUACCAGUUCCGCCUGAUCGUCAUCGGCGACUCCACCGUGGGCAAGUCCUGCCUCAUCCGCCGCUUCACCGAGGGGCGCUUCGCCCAGAUCUCCGACCCCACGGUGGGCGUGGAUUUCUUCUCCAGGCUGGUGGAGAUCGAGCCGGGCAAGAGGAUCAAGCUGCAGAUCUGGGACACGGCCGGGCAGGAGCGGUUCCGGUCCAUCACCAGAGCCUACUACAGGAACUCGGUUGGCGGACUCCUCCUCUUUGACAUUACAAACCGCAGGUCCUUCCAGAACGUCCACGAGUGGCUGGAGGAGACCAAGGUGCACGUCCAGCCGUACCAGAUCGUCUUUGUUUUGGUAGGUCACAAGUGUGACCUUGACACACAGCGGCAAGUCACCAGGCACGAGGCUGAGAAACUGGCUGCUGCAUAUGGUAUGAAGUACAUUGAGACCUCAGCUCGGGAUGCCAUUAACGUGGAGAAGGCCUUCACUGAUCUGACUCGAGAUAUAUAUGAGCUUGUUAAAAGGGGGGAAAUUUCAAUCCAGGAGGGAUGGGAAGGGGUAAAGAGCGGGUUUGUCCCAAACGUAGUGCACUCUUCAGAAGAAGUGGUGAAAUCAGAUAGGCGAUGCUUGUGCUGAGCUCUUCUAGUGAGGCAAGUGGUGAUGAACUCUACUAACCAAACGUACUUUACUAAGUGAACUCAGUGUGACAGAAGGGAGAGCAACACUCCCGUUGAGAACAGCCUCCCACGUUGUUUUGGACACCAGAACAGACCCCGGAAAGAAAUGUUCUGUUCCAAAUAACCUUUCAGAACUGGGGGCUACAAACCUAAAGGAGAGUGAGUGAGGGUGCAUGUAGAUGUUGUAAGGAGACAGGAAGCAGAAAUGAGGGGCUGCACAAGACAGGAGAGAGUAUGCAGAGCGCUGAAUGGGCUGGCACAUGCCAGGGUACUGUACAUGUCCUCUUUUAAGUAAAUCCAUAGCUCCGUGCUGGGUAUUGAAGCCACAGUAUGGAUACUUUAGUAGUAUGACAAAUGGGCAGACAGAGAGAAAGAAAGAGGACAUCUUCGUUUGUGUCAGCUGUUUAUUACCAGGAAGGUGUAAAGGCAGCACAGAUACCGUUUCCUCAUAAGGCGAACUCCACAGGAAAAGUUUACUGACAUGGUAUGCACACUUCCGAAUUUUCUUUCUUAUGUUCUUGAAGCUAGUUCGAUAGCAAAGAAUAUUCUGUGGGAUUUAGAGGAAAACUGUAGUUAUUUGAUUGGUAAUUAAAAUUUAAAUUAUCCCCCCCCCCAAUAGGGCUUUCUUGCUGUGCUGAACUGGGAUUCUAAGUAGUGGCAACUCCUGCUCCAGUAGUAAUUAUUCAAUGCAUUUUUAUGCAUUUACUGCUUAGGUGAGUACCUUGAAAGUGCCCUGAGUUCAGGGCUUUCCAAUAGAAUUAAGUGAUCAAGAGCAUAAAGAGAGAACCAUGUCCUCAUAUGUUGUAUCUUAAGGCUGGGGUGUUGCAGCCAGGUGGGACACACCAACAUUUCUGUCUUGCUAACAGCACUGUGCUGACCUUUUGGGUGUCUUACCAGCCAGGUCACAAGGCGGAAUGGAAAGGAGGGGGGGAAAAAAAACACCCAACAAAAUAAAAAACUUGAAAAGCUUAACUCAGGUGCAUCAGACAUCCUAAAAGGUGAAUUUGCUUUUAAAGAAGUUAAAUAGCAUGGAAAGCAACAGCUUCCAUCAGUACUUUCUGCUGUUAAAGUGUCAUUUUCUUUCUUGGCAUCUGUGGAAGAAGAGAACUAGCACUGGGAAGGAGGACCACACAACAGAAGUGUCUGAGCAGGUGGAAGGGAAAGCCACAAGACAAGCUCAAGAGUAAAAUUUGUUUUCCUCCAUGUUUUAAUUUGACAAAAGAGGAUCCGUCUCAGGAACCUGGCCAGCAGGGGAAAGAUCACUUUUCACGAGACAACCAAUAUUUUAUUUAAUGGGUUUUGGACAUUCCCCUUUACUGCUCCCGGAGAGAAAUUCCAGAAAGCCUAAAUCAGUAAGUGCAUUCAGGCCUUCAGAUUAAGUCUUCAAUUUAAAAAGACAAGCGUUGUAAUUCUGAAGAGGAACAGUACAGAAGAAAAUGUACGCAGUCUUAACUACUUAGAGGUAAUGAAUGGUUAUAUUAAAUGAUAGAGAAAUCAUUAUCUACAUCUUUUUCUAAUUCCUUGCAUUUUCUAGACAGCUUAUUAAAAUAUAGGAAAUGUAGAUUCAUCUGUACAAAAUUUGGAAUGUUUUUUCUAAGAUGAAGAACUUAUAGGAUAUGCUAAGAAUUCUUUUCUAACAACUGGUUUUAAUGCUUUGACUUCUAGUGCAAGAGGGACUUAGAGAAAUCAGAAGGUGAUACCUUUCACAGGAUAAAGGUCAGGAGCUCUUUUACUCUAGGACAAAAAGAAAAAAAAAAAGAAAAAGCUAACUUUCUGUGGUCUCUACCACAUGUUAAAAACAAUCUGCAUGUUAGAUUGAAACUGCUCAGAACCUCCAGAAUAAAAGCAUACUAUACACUUUCCUCGCUUUCUGUUAUGCACUGUAACGAACUGUGAAAAUAAUGCUGUAUUUAGCUGUCUGUAUGUGACUGAAAAUAUGCUUGUACUUAGCAAAAUGGUUACUAUGUGAUAAUGUGAAAUUCAAAACUUGUAAAGAAACUUUGGUGGUUUUUUUUUUUUCCUUUCCCCCUCCCCAUUCUUUAUCAGUAAGCCAGCUACUACCUGUACCACUUCUAUACGGCAGCCGUAACUGAAAGUCUAACAUGGUCUGGCUCAACAAUAAACA